CUCCCAGCCUCUCUCCCCACAGCCUGCCUCAUCCGAGGGUCCCAGGCUUCCAGAGCCAUGGCUUCUCCGCCCGCCGGAUACCCCUCUGGGUGUCCAGGAGCGGAAGGAAGGAUGCAUGCGACUGACUGCGGACGCGUUGAGAGCCAGGGGAGGCAUGUUUACCCACAGCAUCUCAUGUCAAGGCUCGCCGCGACGCAGACUGCGACUGUACUGAUCUUAGAGAUGAGAGAACACAGAGAGAUGUGGAAUAUCCCCUCGGCCUCUGCGGGGCGCAGAGGGUGCCUUGAUUCCGGGGAACAGAAGAGGGGAUUCCACGGCUAGCCCAGAAUAGCACCAGCCCCAAGGUCCAGUCUGGCCAGGCCACGAUGUUGGGGGACCGGCAGCUCCAUGGAGGAGGAGGAGGAGGAAAAAAAAAAAAGAGAGAGACAAAAAUAAAGCGAUGUGAAAGUGGAGGGCCUGUCCGUGAAUCACUCCUACCCGUUAAUUUUCGCCUUUGGAGAAGUAAUGUCACCUGGUGAUAAGAUGACAUGCAUUUGAGCCUCAAUCCCCUUCCAGCAUCCCCUCUCCUCUGCCCCGCAAGCCACAAGCUGGCAGCUUUCCGAUUCCAGAGCAAGCUUGCCACACGAAUCCUGCGAGGAACAGCAGUUAUGUCUUAAUCUCCUCUCCUCCUGUCCCCACCGGAGGCUGAGCCACUCUGCCUGGGUUUUCCCUCCCGCUCGCCCCCAUCCCGAACUCUCUCCACGCCCCGCUUCUUCCCCCACGCACACGGCGGCUGCACCGUCACAGAAAGCAGCCGCUGGAAUAAUCAGCGAAGCCACAGGUCUCCCCAUCUUGGCAAGUGGAGGUGUGCGCUGCCCUCAGACAUCUGUGAACCGCUGUUCAACGCCAACCCCGAAGGCAGAAGGGGAAACCAAGUCACCUCCCAGAAAGACGUUUGAUGAGCAGAGAUAGAUUUGCCUCCAGACUGGUACCAGGUCUGGGGAAACCCAGGCAGAGCCCCAGGCUCUAUGCGACCCAAAGAAGAAAAAAAUGGGUGCACAGUGAUGGCUCCAGGUCUCCCCACCCAGAUGCUACCACGAAAUCCCUGGCAUCCACGAAGCUUCCCCCUGUUCCAUGGUGGAAAUUGGGGGAAAAUGGACUUGUGUCUCCAAGCAGGGUCCAUGGACACUGGACGAUGCCUGAAAUCCCCUGGGAGGCAGGGAAAAAAGGCGCACUGAACGCUCAACCGGGGUAUAAGGAGUGAUUUUUUUUUCUCUGCUGGCAGCAGGCAGGAACCUGGGGUUUGAAUGUCCCCUUCUCUGUCGCCACCUCACGCAGACUUCAGAGGCUCUCAAGGUUUCCUGGAGAGGGGGAAAUCGUCCCCGGAGCUGACCUGCCAACCAGUAGCACCCUCCAGCGCCUCAGCCGGGCCACGCCAAAAUGACCUGUCACCCAUCUCCCGCGGGGAGUGGGGAGCGGGCCAGUCCACCGCCUCUUGGGACGGCAUCUCUGGACGGCCACUGACAGUACCAGUCUCUGUCACCCCCUGGGGGGUUAGGGGCAAUGUCAUCGGCCAGGGUGGCAGAAAUAGAAAAGUGCGUGAGCUCACCAGGCAGCCUGGGUCUCCUGCGACGUUUUGUUUGCCUGAGCCCAAUUAGAACAACUCUCAGGAUGAUGGAGUAUGGCGGGCGGUGGCCCCCAGGGGGCUGGGAGGCCUAGCCCCCAUGCAGAAGUGCACCGUCAUGAUGAGGGUGUCCCCCGGGCCUGGGGAACAGGGCAGGACCCUGCUUCCCGGAGGGAAAUAAUGAAGACUCCGCCAGCCUGCCAGCCAGAAAGAGAUGCCCCACGGAAGGCUUUGUGGAGGGCAGCGGGGGGGUAGGGGAGGGAUGCCCAGGUGGGGACUCAGUCAGGCCCAAGCUGGGGGGCUGUGGGAUUUGAGGGCGGGAA
rnacentral:lncRNA from 10 species